rnacentral:rRNA from 1 species
AUUGAACGCUGGCGGCAGGCCUAACACAUGCAAGUCGAGCGGAUGAAGGGAGCUUGCUCCUGGAUUCAGCGGCGGACGGGUGAGUAAUGCCUAGGAAUCUGCCUGGUCGUGGGGGAUAACGUCCGGAAACGGGCGCUAAUACCGCAUCCGUCCUGAGGGAGAAACUGGGGGUUCUUCGGACCUCACGCUAUCAGAUGAGCCUAGGUCGGAUUAGCUAGUUGGUGGGGUAAAGGCCUACCAAGGCGACGAUCCGUAACUGGUCUGAGAGGAUGAUCAGUCACACUGGAACUGAGACACGGUCCAGACUCCUACGGGAGGCAGCAGUGGGGAAUAUUGGACAAUGGGCGAAAGCCUGAUCCAGCCAUGCCGCGUGUGUGAAGAAGGUCUUCGGAUUGUAAAGCACUUUAAGUUGGGAGGAAGGGCAGUAAGUGAAUACCUUGCUGUUUUGACGUUACCAAAAGAAUAAGCACCGGCUAACUUCGUG